GGGAGGAAGAGGACGUGGUCGUGGUAACUUCAGAGGACGUGGAGGGGGUAGAGGAGGCUACCGUGGUCGUGGUUGGCGUGGUGGUAGAGGGUCUAGAGGAAGUAGCAGAGGAGGUCCACAGAAAGACUGGGUUGAUUAUCCAUUGGAUGCUGAUACUUCAAAGUUGCAGCAAAAUCUACCAAGUGGAACAACUGCAUCUUCAAAUCAAACUCCAGUCCAAGCUUAAUCAGAACUUGUUGAAUCAAUCAUUAAUUGAUAGACUGCCUGGGUAGUCUGAAUACUUGUAAUCUUUGCUAAAAUAUUUUCAUAUUUUGACGUUGAAGAGCAAAGAAAGCUGUUUGGAAUAGUGAAUGUAUAUUUUUUUCGGGACGGACUGUUUUUGUAGGGUAAAUAUCCAGUCACUACCUACUGAAUAAUUUAUUAAAUGACCUCAUGGGGCAUAAUUGCUGGUAUUCCAGUAGUUGCUAAUCAUUUACAGUGUAUAGACUAUUUAAAUAGGCACUGCAUAUAUUAAGAAUAUUGUUACAGAAACAAAAAAAUCAAAGUUAUUCGUAUUUCUGUUCUAUAUUAUUGCUAAUUCUCAUUUUGAUUAUCUAAAUAAAGAAUUAUAGCCAAAA